AUUGAACGCUGGCGGCAGGCCUAACACAUGCAAGUCGAGCGAGCGGCGGACGGGUGAGUAUUGUGUGGGGACUGCCCGCUAGAGGGGGAUAACUACUGGAAACGGUAGCUAUUACCGCAUACUCUCUCAUAACCCACAUGGGAUUAGAUAGUAGGUGGGGUAAUGGCUCACCUAGGCGACGAUCCCUCGCUGGUCUGUGAGGAUGAUCAGCCACACUGGGACUGAGACACGGCCCAGACUCCUACGGAGGCAGCAGUGGGGAAUAUUGCACAAUGGGCGCAAGCCUGAUGCAGCCAUGCCGCGUGUAUGAAGAAGGCCCUAGGGUUGUAAAGUACUUUCAGUCGGGAGGCGUUACCGACAGAAGAAGCACCGGCUAACUCCGUGCCAGCAGCCGCGGUAAUUC
rnacentral:rRNA from 1 species